GACGAACGCUGGCGGCGUGCUUAACACAUGCAAGUCGAACUAAGUGGCGAACGGGUGCGUCACGCGUAAUCAACCUGCCCUUCAGAGGGUGACCACCGUUGGAAACGACUGCUAAUACCGCAUACUGAAGGAGGGUAGUUGGUCUGAUUAGCUAGUUGUAGGGGUAACGGCCCACCAAGGCGAUGAUCAGUAUCGCGUCGUAGAGGAGUGACGGCCACAUUGGGGCUGAGACACGGCCCAGACUCCUACUGGAGGCAGCAGUGGGGAAUCUUCCGCAAUGGACGAAAGUCUGACGAAGCAACGCAGCGUGAGUGAUGACGGCCUUCGGGUGGUAAAGCUCUGUUAAUCGGGACGCGGUACCGGAAUAGAAAGCCACGGCUAACUACGUGCCAGACGCCGCGGUAAUUC
rnacentral:rRNA from 1 species